UACGUAGGUGGCAAGCGUUACUCGGAAUCACUAGGCGUAAAGCGCAGGUAGGCGGUUUGGUAAGUUUGUUGUGAAAGCUCCCGGCUCAACUGGGAGAGGUCAACGAAUACUGCCAGGCUUGAGCACGGUAGAGGCUGGUGGAAUUCCCGGUGUAGCGGUGGAAUGCGUAGAGAUCGGGAAGAACAUCGGUGGCGAAGGCGGCCAGCUGGGCCGUUGCUGACGCUGAGGCGCGACAGCGUGGGGAGCAAACAGG
rnacentral:rRNA from 1 species